UCAACUGUAUAAGGUGAAUGUGACUAGUUCAACUGUAUAAGGUGAAUCUAGUCACACUCACCAUUUACAGUUGAACUAGUCACAUUCACUUAUAUAGUGGAACUAGUCACAUUCACCUUAUACAGUU
rnacentral:pre_miRNA from 1 species